CAUCGACAAACUUUCGUUUUGUGCGCUUAAAAUGUAAGAAAAUUUAUAAACAAAAGCAGCGGUUCUUCAGCUCCUCCAGCACAGUCUGCAAGUAGAUGUACUCCUCGGGGAGUGGUGGCUUCUCCUUGGGCGGCGCCGGUUGGCGCUGUUGCUGGAUGGGCGCUGGCUGCUCGGUAUAGCCAAUGGUUUGCUGUUGUCCCUGCCAGUUUGGCUGCUGAAUCCCAGGGGCUGGCUGCUGAGGCUGGAGAUAUGAUUGCUGAUGCUGCUGCUGCUGCUGGGGAUUGUUGUUGAAGGCAGCCGGGUUGUAGUACGUAUUGGGCACUCCUCCAAGUGGUGCUGCGUGCUGGAGAAAAUAAAUACAUUUUUGAUCUACUUCCUGACCAAUAAU
ensembl:ncRNA asRNA:CR45202 antisense RNA:CR45202